AUUCUGUUCUUCUGUCCUUUAGAGGGAGCCAUUUCCUCAUCUGCAGUGCUCCAGAGAUAUAUAACAUGACUGGGAACUGCUGACUAGGAGACAGUGACCUUCAGACUGAGAAGAGCCAAGACUUCAAAGAGGAAUGUACAGUAUCCUCCUCUGCUCUGCACCAGAUAGACUCCCCCUAUUACAAGUGAUGCCCCAACACACCAGGAGGGUGAAGACUCACACCUGCUUCCUCUACUACGUGAAGUUAGCCACCGCCACUUUUUGAACUGCUGCUGAUGCAGCAUUGCCAAGUAGCAUUACAGUGCAUUCGGAGGAAAGUGCAGCGACUCAGAGCAAUGCCAAUUGUGCUCUCUCAGGGCUCCGGUAGCUGAUGGCAAGCUACAUAACCAGGAUUCAAACCUGCGAUCUCCUGAUCUUAGUGGCAGCGCUUAGCAUGCUGGACCACUUGGAGCCCCCUAGUGCAGUAAGUUGCCUUAAAAUUUUGUUUUCUCAGUUUUUUUUUUUGUAUUUGUUCUGGUCGCACAGAGUCCACUGUUUAGUGGAAUCUGUCUUGACUUGCUUUUGCACUUGACUUCGGCUUAGUCUUAUUUGGAUUUGCUCUUAUUUAGGCUUGAUUCUCUCUCUCUCUCUCUCUCUUUCUCUCUCAGACUCUUGUUUCAGCUUUGCCUCGCUUUAAUGUGUGUCAUAGUCAGCUGGGGGUCCUAAAUCAGAUAUUCCUUCUUUCAGAGUUGGUUUUGACUCGUACUUGAUAAAGGUGCUCUCAACUACCACACUUAUUACAUUACACACAUUAUGUAGUUUUGAACUUUCAUUCCUCCUGUAAUUUAUUAUUAUUUAAUCUUGAAUGUGACUGAGUGCCUACCACCCGUACCACACACACAC